rnacentral:rRNA from 1 species
AUUGAACGCUGGCGGCAUGCCUUACACAUGCAAGUCGAACGGCAGCACGGGAGCAAUCCUGGUGGCGAGUGGCGAACGGGUGAGUAAAGUAUCGGAACGUGCCCAGUCGUGGGGGAUAACGUAGCGAAAGUUACGCUAAUACCGCAUACGAUCUAUGGAUGAAAGCGGGGGAUCGCAAGACCUCGCGCGAUUGGAGCGGCCGAUAUCAGAUUGGGUAGUUGGGGGGGUAAAGGCUCACCAAGCCGACGAUCUGUAGCUGGUCUGAGAGGACGACCAGCCACACUGGGACUGAGACACGGCCCAGACUCCUACGGGAGGCAGCAGUGGGGAAUUUUGGACAAUGGGCGAAAGCCUGAUCCAGCCAUGCCGCGUGCAGGAUGAAGGCCUUCGGGUUGUAAACUGCUUUUGUACGGAACGAAAAGGUUUGGCCUAAUAAGCUGAGCUCAUGACGGUACCGUAAGAAUAAGCACCGGCUAACUACGUGCCAGCAGCCGCAGUAA